CCCUCACCCCCACCCCCACCCCCGCGCUAUGGCUGUGAACAGGACUCCAGGUCGUCUGCUAUCAAAUCUCAGAACUCCUCAAAGCUAUAAAACAGGCAAACACUCAAAGAAGGAUGUGUGACCUACACUCGAUGUCCAGCCUCUGGCCACAUCUGGUCCACGAAGCAUCUCUGCUGUAGGCUGGCUGGAGCCCUGGUGAAAGGUGGCUUUUCUUCCAUCCAGGCAGCUAUGACGAAAGGAAAGAGAAUGAGAGCAUGAGCAAUGGGGA